rnacentral:rRNA from 1 species
ACUCAAAUGAAUUGACGGGGGCCCGCACAAGCGGAGGAACAUGUGGUUUAAUUCGAUGAUACGCGAGGAACCUUACCCGGGCUUGAAAGUUAGUGACGGACUUGGAAACAAGUUUUCCCUUCGGGGCACGAAACUAGGUGCUGCAUGGUUGUCGUCAGCUCGUGCCGUGAGGUGUCGGGUUAAGUCCCAUAACGAGCGCAACCCCUACUGUCAGUUGCCAUCGGGUCAUGCCGGGGACUCUGACAGGACUGCCGGUGUAAACCGCGAGGAAGGUGGGGAUGACGUCAAAUCAGCACGGCCCUUACGUCCGGGGCGACACACGUGUUACAAUGGCAGGUACAGAGGGCAGCUACCCAGCGAUGGGAUGCGAAUCUCGAAAGCCUGUCUCAGUUCGGAUCGGAGGCUGAAACUCGCCUCCGUGAAGUUGGAUUCGCUAGUAAUCGCGCAUCAGCCAUGGCGCGGUGAAUACGUUCCCGGGCCUUGCACACACCGCCCGU